GAAGCCCUGUGGGUGGAGGGGGCAGUGAGGACGCGCCUGGCUCACCUGUGCCCAGCCUGCUGCAGAGCCUCCCGCUCUCCAGACUGCAGAGCCCAGAUUGCCCCCCCCCAGGCUGGGCCAUCACUCACCAAGGUCUUGUCCCCACUCAGGCCCUGAGAGCGAGAGCUGAAGCCGGCCUGCAGGGUGUGGUACUGCCCCCUGGAUGCACCUGCGGAGAGGGACAGUGGGAGUCCAGCUCUGCCAGACAGCAACUCACUGGCCUCCUGCCUCCUCUCCACCAGUCCAUCUCCAUUCACAACCCUGGGAGCAGCCUCAGUCCCGGGCAGGGAGGCCAGGCGGGCCCGGGGGCCAGUGCCUCCCCGUUCCUGCCAUGUCCUGAUCUCCUCACCUGUCAGCCUGGUGGUCCACCUUCCACAGCCCACCCCCCAGCUGUGCCUCCUCUACCGGAGAAGGCAGAUGCGCUCACCCUCUGACCUCCUGGUCCCUGGGGAAUGUGCCAGGGACUCUCUGUCCAAUCCCUGCCAUGGUAUAGCACCUGGCCCCCUCCUCCAGGAAGCCAUCCUAGUCUGCCCCGGCCCACACUGACUUUUUUUGAGCUCCUCCUGUGCCCAGACCUCAUCUGUGCCCAGUCACCGGAGAGUGCCCUGUCUCUCUAGACCAGUAUGUCCUGUUGCAGUGCCCUCUCCCACCUGGCAGAGCCCGAGGCAGGGGCCACACCCAUCCCAUCCAGCCGCACACAGGCCAAGGGCAGCUGCAUCAGCCCAGCCCCACAGUGAGUGGACAGACAGGAGCUCGUCUGACAGCCUGUGCCUCUCCCCGGACCCUGGACUCUGGCUCUGGGCUCUCCUCCAGGGCAGACCCUUAACCCAGCCCCGUCCCCUGAAGACUUUUGCCCUAGUGGGGCUGGGGGCAGAGGUCUGGUGUGGGGGUGGGGUCAGUGCUGAGGGGGCAGAAACUGGAGGGUGGGAGUCAGAGGUCAGUGUUGGGAGUUAGAGGGGGAAGGGAGGCCUCUGAAAGGAUGGGGAGGCUGGGCUGGGGCUGCCAGGGGCGGGGGUGGAAGACCUACCUUGCCUGUGGUCCGGACCCCACCAGCCUCCCAGCUCAUCCCAGAGGCCACUGUGGAUGGCCAAGGUGUCCUGGGCUCCAUCCCCGGCCCAGCGUUCGGGGCAGCCUCUGCGUCGGGCCAGGACUGUGGGGCCCCGGAGGGCGGGGUGGGAACGCCCAGCACAUCAGACUGGCUGCUUCCCUGGGAGACGGGUUUUGUGUGGAAAAAUCCUGGGAGACAAGUUGGUGCGGCGCAGAGCGGGCUGAGGUAUGUACCUGGCACGGGCUGGGGCCCGCCCUGCACCCAGGUCCACCCCAGGCCCACCUGGGGCCCUGCCGAGUCCAGGCUGGCCCUGUUGACAGGGAAGCCGGCCUGGAGGAUCUCUGCAGCCCCGGCAGUCCGUAGGGCUCACGAGUGGGCGCCGUGGAGGGGCUUCCGUGCGGCCCGAGCCGGGAUGGGAAUGCUGGUGCCUGUGGCCUGCGAUUCUGCUGACCUUCCCUCCUCCCCUUGGCAGAGAGGGCUGCAGGUGCCCCCCCAGAGCUGUGCUGCCUCCCUGAGGAUGCGUGGUCCCUGCCAGGCAGUUUUGGCAAAGCUGGGAAGUUUUGGCAAAGCCGGGCACCUGGGCGCACCUUCGCUCACUGCUGCAGGGCCAGAGGGAUGCGAUGCCGGCCGGGCCUGUCACUACAGCUCCAGCCCAGGCCCGGAGGAGUCUUGUCUGACCCUGUGACCAGCCCUGAAUGUCUCACUCUCCCAGGAGCCCUGGAGGAGGCGGUUGUCCCUGGAGCCUGGAAUCUGCAUCUGGCCUCAGGCCGCUCUGGUGCACCGUCAGGUUGACAGCCUGGCAGCUGGGAGCCUCGAAGGGCGAGUGAGUGAGCGCUGCUCUUCGAUGGGUCCCAGGUGGCGGGUGGCCUGUCUAUCAUCUCCAAGAGGAGGUAGGAGAGGGCACAGGAGGCCUUCAGCGGGCGGUGGGCUCAGCGUGGGGCACGGGAGGCUCUCGGAGAAGGCGGGCUGGCCCAGGUGCCAGCCUGGAGUUGUGGGAGGGCACAGAAGACAAACCUCCAGGGCAGAGGGGGUGGGGUGGGCGGAUUGAGGAACAGAAGAGGGAGAAUCUGGGCAGAAAGGCGUGAGGAUGUUAAAAGCAAAACAGUCUCAAAACCGAAGUGAGGAGUGUGCUGCCGCACAGAGACUCGGGAGGCGGCCUCCGGUCCCAGCGCCUGAGGGGGGAGGCGGGCAGUGCCUCGGGGAGUGAUGGCACCCAGUGAUGGCACCCAGUGCCUGGGUGGGUGAUGGACCUGGUGUGGGGACACAGCUCACCCAGAGGCAAGCGUCCUGGUCUUCCUGUUAGCACCCACGCUUGCAAACCUUCCGAGCUGGGCUCUAGCCAAGUCUGGCCCAGGGCCCAGCCGCUCCGCGGAACCUACGGGGCUGCCCGUGGGCACCACCCCCACCCUCUGGAGUGUGGCCGGGUGCUGGAACAGCUCUGAGAUCUCCAGCCUUGGCCUUUGGCCUGAAAGGUGGCUGAGGGGUAUGGCCCCCAUAGGCUCUUGGGGGGGGCCCUUUCAUCUGCACACACCCCACCUACUGCUGGCCUGUGGGUCAGCCUGUCCAUCUGUCCAUCCAGCAUUUGUGGCUCACUGGACGUGUUGGGCUCUUCCUAAGCCCCUGGCAAGGCUCUGGGCAAGGGUGUGUGUGUCUGAGACAGGCAGGGCACAUCUGGGGGCUCUCCCAGGGUCUGUCAGGGCCUGGUGGGGCACAGUGAACAGACAGCAGCCCCCAAGUAAGGAUGCUAGUCGAGGUGGCUGGUGCAGCAGAGGCCUCUGGCUCCGGAGACCCUGUAGCUGCCCUCCAGACAGGCGGUCCCCAAAGGGACCUGAAGAGCCCAAAAGGAGCAGAGUGGUGUCUGACAGCAGGAUGCUGAUACCCUGGAUACUCUUCAGGAGGACAGCAGCCUCCAGAUGGAGAAUCAAGUAAAGGGCAGGGAGGGGGCAGAUAGGGCUGAGGAGGUGAUGGCUGGUGUCUGGGUCGCGGUGGGGGGCGGAUGAAAAGCACCUGCCCCUCCCACCGCCCAACCGUGAGUGCCCUGCACUGCUGGGUGCAGGUGGAUGCAGCCUCCCUCAGGUGCCUGGGCUGGGGUCCUGGUGUGCCGGCACCACCAAACACUUCAUUCUUACUCUUGUUGCUGUUAAUGUAUAUAUUUUUUAAGACAGUCUUGCUCUGUUGCCCAGGCUGGAGUGCAGUGGCACCAUCUCAGCUCACCACAACCUCUAUCUCCAGGUUCAAAUCAUUCUCCUGCCUCAGCCUCCCGAGUAGCUGGGAUUACAGUCAGAGGUCACGGGUCGAUUCACUCCACAACUGAGAAAGCCACUUGAUGCUGGAAAACAAAGAAUCAGCGUGUUCCAAGCAAAAGAGUCAGAAGAGGUGACUUCAGGGGUCAGCGCCUGUUUUCGGUCUCCCAAGUUGCGAUCCGUGCUCUCUUCAUUCAUCCUUUGAAGAGAAUCAAAACAAGACAAUUGUCUGCACGUCAGAGCACCCUAGGGUAGCACAGUCUAAAGCACGACCGACAAAGGAACGUGGCCACCUCUGUGGUCUGCGAUGGCCUCACGUGGCCACCUCUGUGGUCUGCGAUAGCCUCGCACGAGAACCGUGAUCACGACGGAACACUCAGAUAUCAGGGUUUUGGAAACCGCGCGCCAUUCUGGAACACAUAUUAAUGUUACUCACUAAAAUAUAACCUGAAGAUCAAACGCCA